rnacentral:ncRNA from 2 species
ACGCGUUCUCAGGGCGGGGCGGAAUUCCCCACCGGCGGUAGCGAUCGGCGGAUCUAACGGUCCGGUGGUCGAAGCCCGCGAGCGCUUCGAGGCCUACCUCGAAGGUCAGCAGAUCCGGUCAGAUUCCGGAGCCGACGGUUACAGUCCGGAUGGAAGAGAGCAAGC